UUAAAAAUGUAAAUUCAAAUUACUUAAUUAUUAAAAGUUAUUUUCUUAAAAAUUAAAAAAUUUGGCGGUAUUUUAUUCUAUUCAGAGGAAUUUGUUUUUUAAUAGAUAAUACCCAAUAAAUCUUUCUUAAAUUUGUUUAGUUUGUAUAUCGUUGUUAAAAAAAAAUAUUUAAAAAUUUAAUAAUUUUUUAUUAUUUAAAUUUAAAAAUUAAAUCAAAUCAAGGUGCAGCUUAUAUUUAAGUAAAAAUGAAUUACAAUAAAUUUUAUUUAUUAUUAAUAAAAAUUAUUAAAAUAUUUUUUGAAAGUGGAUUUGAAUGUAAAUUUUAUAAUUAUAAAAAAUUGAUAAAAGAUUUAAAAUAUGU
rnacentral:rRNA from 1 species